AAGAGACAGCAGUCGCCGCGGGAAUACGGAGGGUGCAAGCGUUAUCCGGAUUUAUUGGGUUUAAAGGGUCCGUAGGCGGACUUAUAAGUCAGUGGUGAAAGCCUGUCGCUUAACGAUAGAACUGCCAUUGAUACUGUAAGUCUUGAGUAUAUUUGAGGUAGCUGGAAUAAGUAGUGUAGCGGUGAAAUGCAUAGAUAUUACUUAGAACACCAAUUGCGAAGGCAGGUUACCAAGAUAUAACUGACGCUGAGGGACGAAAGCGUGGGUAGCGAACAGGAUUAGAUACCCCAGUAGUCCCUGUCUCUUAUAC
rnacentral:rRNA from 1 species